AUCCAUGCUGUGGGCAUUGACUUAUCAAAUUUCUAAACCUCUCCCAGACUUGAUGGAAAUUGUCAUGGUCUUUCUGGAUGAAGGUUGAGAUUUGCCUCUUUAGGCU